GACGAACGCUGGCGGCGUGCCUAAUACAUGCAAGUAGAACGCUGAAGGAGGAGCUUGCUCUUCUGGAUGAGUUGCGCACGGGUGAAUAACGCGUAGGUAACCUGCCUGGUAGCGGGGGAUAACUCUUGGAAACGAUAGCUAAUACCGCAUAACAGUAGAUGUUGCAUGACAUUUACUAAAAAGGUGCAAUUGCAUCACUACCAGAUGGACCUGCGUUGUAUUAGCUAGUUGGUGGGGUAACGGCUCACCAAGGCGACGAUACAUAGCCGACCCGAGAGGGGGGUCGGCCAACCUGGGAAUGGGACACGGCCCAGACUCCCACCGGGGGCAGCAGGAGGGGAUCUUCGGCAAUUGACGGAAGUCUGACCGGGCAACGCCGCGUGGGGUAAGAAGGUUUUCGGAUCGUAAAGAUCUGUUUUAAGGGAAGAAAGAGUGUGAGAGUUGAAAGUUCACACUGUGACGGUAUCUUACCAGAAAGGGACGGCUAACUACGUG
rnacentral:rRNA from 1 species